CCUACGGGAGGCAGCAGUCGGGAAUAUUGCGCAAUGGAGGAAACUCUGACGCAGUGACGCCGCGUGCAGGAAGAAGGUUUUCGGAUUGUAAACUGCUUUAGACAGGGAAGAAAAAAGACAGUACCUGUAGAAUAAGCUCCGGCUAACUACGUGCCAGCAGCCGCGGUAAUACGUAGGGAGCAAGCGUUAUCAGGCUUUAUUGGGUGUAACGGGUGCGUAGACGGGAAACCAAGUUAGUUGUGAAAUCCGUCUGCUUAACUGAGGAACUGCAACGAAAACUAUUUUUAUUGAGUGCUGGAGAGUAAAGUGGAAGUCCAAGUGUAGCGGUGAAAUGCGGAGAUAUUAGGAGGAACACCAGUGGCGAAGGCGACUUUCUGGUCAGUAACUGACGUUGAGGCACGAAAGUGUGGGGAGCAAACAGGAUUAGAUACCCUAGUAGUC
rnacentral:rRNA from 1 species